UGACCUCAAAUCAGGUAGGACUACCCGCUGAACUUAAGCAUAUCAAUAAGCGGAGGAAAAGAAACUAACAAGGAUUCCCCUAGUAACUGCGAGUGAAGCGGGAAAAGCUCAAAUUUAAAAUCUGGCAGUCUUUGGCUGUCCGAGUUGUAAUCUAGAGAAGUGUUAUCCGCGCUGGACCGUGUACAAGUCUCCUGGAAUGGAGCGUCAUAGAGGGUGAGAAUCCCGUCUUUGACACGGACUACCAGGGCUUUGUGAUGCGCUCUCAAAGAGUCGAGUUGUUUGGGAAUGCAGCUCAAAAUGGGUGGUAAAUUCCAUCUAAAGCUAAAUAUUGGCGAGAGACCGAUAGCGAACAAGUACCGUGAGGGAAAGAUGAAAAGAACUUUGGAAAGAGAGUUAAACAGUACGUGAAAUUGCUGAAAGGGAAACGCUUGAAGUCAGUCGCGUUGUCCAGGGAUCAACCUUGCUUUUGCUUGGUGCACUUUCUGGUUGACGGGUCAGCAUCAAUUUUGACCAUUGGAAAAAGAUUAGGGGAAUGUGACAUCUUCGGAUGUGUUAUAGCCCUUGGUUGCAUACGAUGGUUGGGAUUGAGGAACUCAGCACGCCGCAAGGCCGGGUUUUAACCACGUACGUGCUAGGAU
rnacentral:rRNA from 1 species